rnacentral:rRNA from 1 species
AGUGAACGCUGGCGGCGUGCCUAACACAUGAAAGUCGAACGAGAACGGACAUAAGUUUACUUAUAUUGUCAGCUAAGUGGCGCACGGGUGAGUAAUAUAUAGUUAACCUGCCCUAAAGAAGAGAAUAAUUGUUGGAAACGACUUGUAAUGCUCUAUAUGCCUUUAUCACAUAAGUGAGCAAGGGAAAUAUUUAUGGCUUUAGGAUGGGACUGUACGGUAUCAGUUAGUUGGUGAGGUAAUGGCUCACCAAGACUAUGACGCCUAACUGGUUUGAGAGGAUGAUCAGUCACACUGGAACUGAGACACGGUCCAUACUCCUACGGGAGGCAGCAGUGGGGAAUAUUGCACAAUGGAGGAAACUCUGAUGCAGCAGGUACGCCGCGUGGAGGGUGACGCAUUUCGGUCGUGUAAACUCCUUUUAUCAGAGAAGAACAUGACGGUAUCUGAUGAAUAAGCUCCGGCUAACUCCGAUGACCAGACCAGCCGCGGUAAUACGGAGGGUGCAAGCGUUACUCGGAAUCACUGGGCGUAAAGGACGCGUAGGCGGAUUUUUAAGUCAGAUGUAAAAUCCUAUGGCUCAACCAUAGAACUGCAUUUGAAACUGGGAAUCUAGAGGACUGAGGGGGAUGAUGGAAUUAGUAGUGUAGGGGUAAAAUCCGUAGAUAUUACUAGGAAUACCGAAAGCGAAGGCGAUCAUCUGGGAAGUUACUGACGCUGAGGCGUGAAAGCGUGGGGAGCAAACAGGAUUAGAUACCCUGGUAGUCCACGCCCUAAACGAUGAAUGCUAGUCGUCGGGGAGCUUGUCUCUUCGGUGAUGCAGUUAACACAUUAAGCAUUCCGCCUGGGGAGUACGGUCGCAAGAUUAAAACUCAAAGGAAUAGACGGGGACCCGCACAAGUGGUGGAGCAUGUGGUUUAAUUCGAAAAUACGCGAAGAACCUUACCUAGCCUUGACAUUGAUAGAAUCUUCCAGAGAUGGAGGAGUGCCUUUCGUGGAACUUGAAAACAGGUGCUGCACGGCUGUCGUCAGCUCGUGUCGUGAGAUGUUGGGUUAAGUCCCGCAACGAGCGCAACCCUCGUCGUUAGUUGCUAACAGUUCGGCUGAGCACUCUAGCGAGACUGCCUUCGAAAUGAGGAGGAAGGUGAGGACGACGUCAAGUCAUCAUGGCCCUUAUGGCUAGGGCUACACACGUGCUACAAUGGGGCGUACAGAGAGUUGCGAUACCGCGAGGUGGAGCCAAUCUCACAAAGCGUCUCUCAGUUCCGGAUUGGAGUCUGCAACUCGACUCCAUGAAGCUGGAAUCACUAGUAAUCGUAGAUCAGCUAUGCUACCGGUGAAUACGUUCCCGGGUCUUGUACUCACCGCCCGUCACACCAUGGGAGUUGAUUUCGCCCGAAGCGGGGAUGCUAAACUGGCUACCCUCUACGGCGGAAUUAGCGA